rnacentral:rRNA from 1 species
UACAGAGGGUGCGAGCGUUGUCCGGAAUCACUGGGCGUAAAGGGCGCGUAGGUGGCGCAACAAGUCAGUGGUGAAAGCUCGACGCUCAACGUCGAGUCGGCCACUGAGACUGUUGGGCUGGAGCACUGUAGAGGCUCAUGGAAUUCCGGGUGUAGCGGUGGAAUGCGUAGAGAUCCGGAAGAACACCGGUGGCGAAGGCGGUGAGCUGGGCAGUUGCUGACACUGAGGCGCGACAGCGUGGGGAGCAAACAGG